CCCAUUGCUAUAUGUCAGUUGCAUCUCAGUGAAGUUGGGAAAAAAAUAAGCAUCUCAUUCUUUUACCAGGACAACCUGUGCAGAGGAGUAAGUUGCUGAUGAUCAAACUUAAGGCUGUUUUAACACAUGAAACAGUGAUGAAAUCCUAGAGGGUGUAUUUCAACAGCCAUGGUCCCCUCUACCACUUGCAUUCCUUUAAGUUCAUGUGAGAAAGAGGAUGAGAGUCUGGUGAGAGUGCAGUCAGUCUGGGAGAGUCAAAUGCAGUUUUUUCUUCUAGGUAGAUGGGGCCCUGGAUAAUUGGACCCAGGUGCCUGGAAGAGAGGCCACAAAGCUUUCAAGGUAUAAUCAAGCCUACUUAAGAUUAUAAACAGCACGUGUCCUUUGCUUGUCAGAGCGCUCUCAGCCUCACCUCUGACAGGACUCUCCAGUUCUUUCCCUUCAAACAAAAGUCCUCGCCUCCUCCUGCUGUUUCCACAACCCAGUUCCCAUGACUUUUGUUCUUCCCACUGCUGAAGGGAUUCUGCUUCAAUCCCUUUUCCCAAUCCCAGAAUCAAUCAGAUGCAUCUCCAGUGUCAAGGAUUCCUGGCAGGAGCCCCAAAUGGGCAAGAGUGGAGUCCAGGUCCUCUGCACAGAUGGAGUUGGCCCUUGGCGGCCCUGCACAACACAAGAUCACGGCAGGGCCACGAUCUUGGCUAACUCCACAGUGGCUGUCAAGCUCGCAGUACAAUGCCUGGCAUACUGGAGUUCAAAAAACCACACCAAGGACUCAUCACAGCUGACACCUGACGCUCACAGCUCCACCUCAGAUCAUCAAGUGUUAGAUCCCGGAAGUUGGGGAUCCCUGCUAUAGAGGUUCGAUCCCUGGGUCAGGAAUAUCCUCUGGAGGAGGAAAUGACAACCCACUCCAGUAUUCUUGCCUAGGAAAUUUCACGGACAGAGGAGCCUGGCGGCCUGCAAUCCAUGGGGUCUCAAAGAAUCGGACAUGACUGAGUGACUAUCAC
ensembl:lncRNA